UGUUGUCCUUUUCCAACCAAGACACCCAACUCUGAAUCCCAGCUACUCCCAGGGACAAACUGGGGUUGCCGCUUCCACGCUCAGCCCCAAACCACGAGCCAGGGUGCAGGAUAUUUUGAGCCGGAUCCAGCAAGGACAUCUCUUUAUAAACCACCCAACUGGGUUGGUUUUCACCCAUUGGACGCCAACCCUUUGGAAUAACGUUUCCCGCUUUUAACUGGGACCCGACUUUGAGAAAGGGAGCGUGUUGGGGGUCAGGCAUUGUGUGAGCAGAGGGCGGGUUGUUGGUUUUGCAUAUAAAAAAAAAUUUAAACCAGACAUCUACCUCAGAGGCAGCCUCAUGCAAACUUGUUCAUCUGUGUCUGAAUAGGCACCCCUAAAUGACAUUCGCAUCAUCUGGUGGCUUUGGAGGACGACCCCUGACCCUGUCUGGCUCUCCCGCAUAGAAAGGCUGUCGUCUUCUCCCCCUGUCUGGCCAUUGUCCCUCCAUUUCCAUAUUGCUCCCCCACCCCUCUUUUUCCCAUGCUGUCGCUCUCAGAGGUUCACCCCCUCCCAACCCCUUCCCAUCUUCUUCUCCCGCCCCAACCCGAGCCGGUUUUUAAAAAUCAAUCAAGUUUAGAGAAGAGAAGGAGACUCCUCACAUUCAGAGAGGCUGGAGGAGCCGGACACUUAUAUGCUGAAAGGAUUUUUAUUUUGCAGGGCGGGGGGGGGUGGAGUCUGUUUUGAGUUUUCUCUCCCCAUCCAAAAUCUCUCUUUUUGACACCCCCCCUUUACCACACACUUUGGGAACGCAGAAAUGGCAAAACGUGGCGAUUUAGGCGGAACCGUCAACUUUGGACAGCAAGAGACAGGGCAGGAAACUGAGUGGUGCUGUUCUGAGUCGGUUGUUUCCUGCUGGUGCUUAAGAGAGAGAAUAGUUCUCCUUCCUGGGUUGCUGCGUGUCCUCUGAGCCUUCCCUGCUAAUAGGUGGCGAGAGCAAAAUAGCCAGCGACUCUCGACUGCAAAGCUCUCUCCAAGAUUUGGCUGGACGGCGUGUCCUUUCCAGACUUGUGUUUCUCACGGGAAUUGGUUCUCGAGUUUUAGCUGGAGAUGGGAGUAAGGAAUCGAAGAGGUCUUCGCCAUCGCCGUCCCCAUCGGAAGCAGACAUCCCAGCUUGCAUUGCGGCAGGCGUGGGGUGACUUUUCCUGCCCAAGGGAAGCAUCCCCUUGGAGGGAUUUUUUGGGGGACCACAUGUUAGCGAUUGGCAGGACCAGGGCCAAGAUUGGGCGAAGCAAUGGGUGCGGAUCUCACCUGAGGUCCGGCUGAAAAAAUGCCCUGCAAAACACAUAAUAAAAAUAAUCAUAGAGAGUUGGAAGGGAUCCUGAUGGUUCUAGUCCAACCCUCUGCAAGGCAAGAAUAUGCAACCUGCAAGCUGCGUAAUAUUCACACAAUGCAUUAGCCAGCUGAGCUAUCCUGAAUCAAAACAUAGUACAAAUAAAAAUAAAACAUAAUAGAAACAAUUAACAAUACAUACUAAUAAACGAUAGAAUCUUCAACAAAAGCUCCAAAAGUCCAAACUGGCAUAUAACAUUUAACAACAACCUGCUGGUUGGGUUGGACAAGAGAAAGGCCUGCUAUUUCCCCAACCUUUCCUGGAACAUCGUCUCCCAGAACCAGGCGGGGACUGAAAAGGGAAGAACAGAAACAGCUUCCACGCAGGCGCAGUCUCCAGCUGCCGGAGGAAGGUACAUAAACUGGCGGAGGGGGGUGGUCCCCAGUUGCUGCAACUGCUCCACAGAGUGUGGACCUGGCUGCUGAGAUUGGUGUGCAAAGGGAUCUGGAGUUGUGGAAGAGACUGCCUUAUCUUUGGCAAUAAAGAGCAAACUCUUUGCCGUGCGCAUUCCUUUGCCUUGACGGGCCUUGGCCUCGUUUCAACCCUCUUGCAUUCGGAAUGCACAUUAAAUAGCACACGCCAUCGUCCUUUGCAUUCCAGACCAAAUUCAAGGACAUUUCGAUAGCAGCAGAGAACAUUGGAAAUUUGGAGGGGAGCGGUCUGGAAACUGAGCCUGGAAAAGAGGAGACUGAGAGGAAAUAGGAGAGCCUUCUUCAAAUAUCUAAGGGGCUGUCCCAUGGAAGAGAGAACAAGUUUUCU